GUUUUGCGUUAAGGAUAGCAGUGGAAAUCUUUUUUGCUUUUCGGAUGUUUCUUUUUUAGAAAAAGCUGAUGGCAAAAAGAUUGAAACGGAUAGCCUGGCCCGCA
rnacentral:sRNA from 1 species